rnacentral:rRNA from 1 species
UACGUAGGGGGCUAGCGUUGUCCGGAAUCAUUGGGCGUAAAGCGCGUGUAGGCGGUCCGGUAAGUCCGCUGUGAAAGCCAGGGGCUCAACCCUUGGAUGCCGGUGGAUACUGCCGGGCUUGAGUACGGAAGAGGCGAGUGGAAUUCCUGGUGUAGCGGUGAAAUGCGCAGAUAUCAGGAGGAACACCAAUUGCGAAGGCAGCUCGCUGGGACGUUACUGACGCUGAGACGCGAAAGCGUGGGGAGCAAACAGG